GAUCAUGGUUCAGGAUGAACGCUAGCUACAGGCUUAACACAUGCAAGUCGAGGGGCAGCAUGGUCUUAGCUUGCUAAGGCCGAUGGCGACCGGCGCACGGGUGAGUAACACGUAUCCAACCUGCCAUCUACUCUUGGACAGCCUUCUGAAAGGAAGAUUAAUACAAGAUGGCAUCAUGAGUCCGCACGUUCACAUGAUUAAAGGUAUUCCGGUAGACGAUGGGG
rnacentral:rRNA from 1 species